rnacentral:rRNA from 1 species
GAUGAACGCUGGCGGCGUGCCUAAUACAUGCAAGUCGAGCGAAUGGAUUAAGAGCUUGCUCUCAUGAAGUUAGCGGCGGACGGGUGAGUAACACGUGGGUAACCUGCCCAUAAGACUGGGAUAACUCCGGGAAACCGGGGCUAAUACCGGAUAACAUUUUGAACCGCAUGGUUCGAAAUUGAAAGGCGGCUUCGGCUGUCACUUAUGGAUGGACCCGCGUCGCAUUAGCUAGUUGGUGAGGUAACGGCUAACCAAGGCAACGAUGCGUAGCCGACGUGAGAGGGGGAUCGGCCACACUGGGACUGAGACACGGCCCAGACUCCUACGGGAGGCAGCAGUAGGGAAUAUUCCGCAAUGGACGAAAGUCUGACGGAGCAACGCCGCGUGAGUGAUGAGGCUUUCGGGUCGUAAAACUCUGUUGUUAGGGAAGAACAAGUGCUAGUUGAAUAAGCUGGCACCUUGACGGUACCUAACCAGAAAGCCACGGCUAACUACGUGCCAGCCGCCGCAGUAA